rnacentral:rRNA from 1 species
CACGUAGGGGGCAAGCGUUGUCCGGAUUUAUUGGGCGUAAAGAGCUCGUAGGCGGUUCGGUAAGUCGGGUGUGAAACCUCCAGGCUCAACCUGGAGACGCCACCCGAUACUGCUGUGUCUAGAGUCCGGUAGGGGAGCGUGGAAUUCCUGGUGUAGCGGUGAAAUGCGCAGAUAUCAGGAGGAACACCAGCGGCGAAGGCGGCGCUCUGGGCCGGAACUGACGCUGAGGAGCGAAAGCGUGGGGAGCAAACAGG